CGCGUAGGCGGCUCUGUAAGUCUGGAGUGAAAGUCCUCUUUCAAGGGAGGAAUUGCUUUGGAAACUAUAGAGCUUGAGUGCAGGAGAGGUUAUCGGAAUUCCCGGUGUAGCGGUGAAAUGCGUAGAUAUCGGGAGGAACAUCGGUGGCGAAGGCGGGUAACUGGACUGCAACUGACGCUGAGGCGCGAAAGUGUGGGGAGCAAACAG
rnacentral:rRNA from 1 species